rnacentral:rRNA from 1 species
AUGGCCCACACUACUUUACAAGGAACUGCUGUUGUCCAGUUUAGAGGCAAACCAUUGUUUAACAACGGAUAUGCGGAGGCGUUUUUAUGGAUGUGCAUUUCCCCUGAAUCUAGACAGCUAUUCAACCUGUUGCGGACAUUUUUGGUGGAAUUCAAUGCUUCAGCAGAUGUGCCGGCGCUGCUGCCUGCGCCUUCUCCAGCGCCGCCUCGGUCACCAGCGCCAACUCCGGUCAGUGGUCUCCGGCACGCCCUCGCGGCUGGACGAGGCAGAGAUGUGCCGAGGAUCCCCACGCCCUUGGUUCUCAUGUUCUCUGCUCCCAGCCGCAGCAGAUCGUGCCAAAGGCAUUAUCGUGAGGAGGGAAGCGGCUGCAGAUUAAGGACAACGCGGGUUAAGAGCAUGGUCAUAGUCUAG